CCAAACCAGGAAGAAGGAUUGACCACUCACACACAUGAAUCACCCACAAGCCCCAUCUGCCACGUUCAGCCAGCCACCACCGCCGCAUGCUCUGGCUGGGACUCCAGCCUGUUUCUGUCAAUCUUGCAUCACUGCUGAAUUUGCAGCCUCAGGACAAAAUGGUUGGAAUCUGAAGCCCGACGGAACCACAAACUUUUUGAGGAAAACAAGGGAGGAACACAGACCUUGGCUAAUUUGAUUGGCAUCUAUUUUGAUGGCUGCUGAAGUGUCCAGGUGCCCUCUUAUCUAAUUUUCUGUUCGGCUGGGAGGCUUGAGUCUAUAAUAGCCUCGUUAUGGAAGCCUGUUAAAUUCAUUAUGAACCAAGGAAGUAGGAGCGACAGUGGGGGCAAGAGCUCAGUUGUUCUGACAUUCUUCUGGCAGAGACUCUGCAAGGGGAAUAGUGUUUCUCAUUUUCAUUACAUUUCAUUAGAUAACGCCUUACUUUUCAAAAGAUGAAAUGCUAUUUUGCACUUAUGCUGUGUCCUCUGCCCACACGGCGCAGCCUCCAAGACACUGCUGUUUUAGUGAUUAGAAAACAAUACGAU